UGGGGUGCUUGGCUGUUAUCUCUCUUCGCGUCAAAAGGUUCAGUAUAUUCCUAAAGCAUAAAAAAAAACAAAAACAAACAAAAAAAAAGAAAGAAAAAAAUAAUUUGGGGACUAAAGGAGGAAACAAAUAGGGUGUCUUGGUAGGUUUGGUAAAUUACCUAAUUUUCAUUAAAUAAUUCAAGUUGAUUCUAAUUUUUGUGUGUAUUAAUUGAAAAACUUUUUCUGUUUUA
rnacentral:lncRNA from 1 species